rnacentral:rRNA from 1 species
UGGGACCUACGGGACGCAGCAGUGGGGAAUAUUGCACAAUGGGGGAAACCCUGAUGCAGCGACGCCGCGUGAGUGAAGAAGCGUUUCGGCGCGUAAAGCUCUGUCAGCGGGGAAGAAACACGGUUCGCGAGAGCCGCGGACGGUACCUGACUAAGAAGCCCCGGCUAACUACGUGCCAGCAGCCGCGGUAAUACGUAGGGGGCGAGCGUUAUCCGGAUUUACUGGGCGUAAAGGGAGCGUAGACGGUUCUGCAAGUCUGAAGUGAAAGCCCGUGGCUUAACCGCGGAACGGCUUUGGAAACUGUG